CCUACGGGUGGCAGCAGUGGGGAAUAUUGCACAAUGGGGGAAACCCUGAUGCAGCGACGCCGCGUGAGUGAAGAAGUAUCUCGGUACGUAAAGCUCUAUCAGCAGGGAAGAAAAUGACGGUACCUGACUAAGAAGCCCCGGCUAACUACGUGCCAGCAGCCGCGGUAAUACGUAGGGGGCAAGCGUUAUCCGGAUUUACUGGGUGUAAAGGGAGCGUAGACGGCAGCACAAGUCUGGAGUGAAAUCCCGGGGCCUAACCCCGGAACUGCUUUGGAAACUGUGCGGCUGGAGUGCAGGAGGGGUAAGCGGAAUUCCUAGUGUAGCGGUGAAAUGCGUAGAUAUUAGGAGGAACACCGGUGGCGAAGGCGGCUUACUGGACUGUAACUGACGUUGAGGCUCGAAAGCGUGGGGAGCAAACAGGAUUAGAUACCCCAGUAGUC
rnacentral:rRNA from 1 species